rnacentral:lncRNA from 1 species
UUAUUCAACUAGGUAUGUCAAUUAGCCGGCUUCUCUCUUCACGUCCUGCUCAAUGGCUUUAACCUAAUGGAGUUCCAUAAGAUCUCUGGGUUGGGGAAGGACAUGAGGUGCUUCACAGGAUCAUCAUUAUUGCUUGUUCGUCUAUUUAGAAGGUUAGGAAUGGGAUGUUGUUUCCAAGUAAAAGGAUUUCUCCGGAAGGUGUGAUGGAAGAUAUUAAAACGGUGUUUAGGAUGCUGUGUUUUACCUGCUUUUGUGGAAUCAAGUAGGGUGGAGUCUAGAAACGAACAAAGACAAUUUAUUUUUACUUAUUUAAAUCUGAGUUGUUGGAACAUGUUAUUUGUUUUUGAGAU